GCGUCCUUAGUUCAGUUGGUAGAAUGUAGGUCUCCAAAACCUAAUGUCGUAGGUUCGAUUCCUACAGGGCGUG
rnacentral:tRNA from 2 species